GAUGAACGCUAGCGGCAGGCUUAACACAUGCAAGUCGAGGGGCAACACGGGUAGCAAUACCUGGUGGCGACCGGCGCAAGGGUGCGUAACGCGUGAGCAACAUGCCCUAUACAGGGGGAUAAUCCAGGGAAACUUGGUCUAAUAUCCCAUAGUAUUUAGAGGUGGCAUCACCACUAAAUUAAAGCUUCGGUGGUAUAGGAUUGGCUCGCGUGACAUUAGCUGGAUGGUGGGGUAACGGCUCACCAUGGCGAUGAUGUCUAGGGGUUCUGAGAGGAAGACCCCCCACACUGGGACUGAGACACGGCCCAGACUCCUACGGGAGGCAGCAGUGAGGAAUAUUGGACAAUGGAUGGAAAUCUGAUCCAGCCAUGCCGCGUGCAGGAAGACGGCCCUAUGGGUUGUAAACUGCUUUUAUAUGGGAGCAAUAAGGUUUACGCGUAGACCGAUGAGAGUACCAUAUGAAUAAGCAUCGGCUAACUCCGUCG
rnacentral:rRNA from 1 species